AUUAUAUUGCUUGUUUCAAACUAUAUGUCUGAGUAGUUUGCCUGUUAGGAAUAGGGUUUCUCAUUAGGAAUUCAUAUGGUUUAGUAGAUCGCCCCCUUUGCUAGGUUAUCUGUAGAAUUCUUCAUCUUUAAUUGUUCUUAAUGCUAGAUCUAGAGUAAUUAACUAGAACUUGAAUCCAGACAAUAGAUAUACCCGCCAUAGGUAUCUGUAGUUGGAUCUAUUAUUGGAUGAGCCUGGUUUAUAGGUGUGUAAUAAGAAUCGGCCAAUCUACUAAGGUGAACAAUUGAACUCGUUUAGAAUGCAUGUUUAAGUUAAAGAUCUCUCGGCUUCUCUGAUUAUUCUUAAGCUAUAGACAUAGGGAGUUUCGCGAAACGCCACCAGUUAUUCCAUAAUUAGAGUUUGAGUUUAAGAAUGGUUCGAUAAUAACCUAGCUAUAACUAGAUCUACUAACCAUUACUUUCCUGAGAUUACUCUACUCCUAGCUCUUUAUUUUAAUCGUUUCAUAUUAAAUCAAUCUGUU
rnacentral:sRNA from 1 species